AUUUUCAGUAACAACAACGCCAGAAAGCGAGCCAUCUGUUAACACAGUUAAACCAACAAAAUCAGAACCGAAGAAACAAACGAGCAACAACCAAACGCUUUACAUCAUCGUGGGAUCUGUUGCUGGAGUUAUUUCCCUUGCUAUCCUGGUUCUAGUAUGUUACUGUUGCUGUCGUAAGAGAAAAACUCCGAAUGGAUAUGCCAAGGCCAAUCCUAAUACACCAGUAUAGUCUACUCUGUUACUUUUUACAGUUUAGAAUUGUGUGAGAACUUUUAAAAUGACAUUGUAAGAGUGUUUUUUUUUAUUCGAAACAACAAGCAGGGUUUGUUCUUGUGUCGGCCAUUAGGCAAGUUCUAUAUGAGUCAACUAUCUUGAUGUAAUCGGGUAGUACAUA